UCUUGAAGUUGACAAGGGCUGUCAUGUUUCUUUACUGUAAUUUAUUUUUGUAUUAACCCUAUAUUUUGACUUGCAUUUGUAUUUUGAGUUGCAUUUGUAUUUUUCUAUUUAGUUUUAUUUGUAUGAUUGUUGUAACUUGUAACAUAGUAUUUAAACAUGUGCAUUAGUACGUUUUACCUUGGAUAGUGGGAACAUUUCAAUUUAAUUUAAGAUUAUUUGUUAUUUAAUUUUUACAUUAUAUAACAACUGUUAUUAGGCUCUGAUUAAGA
rnacentral:lncRNA from 1 species